AGGAAAGAAGAAGAAAAAAA
rnacentral:sRNA from 1 species